GACGAACGCUGGCGGCGUGCUUAACACAUGCAAGUCGAACGGAAAGGCCCUGCUUUUGUGGGGUGCUCGAGUGGCGAACGGGUGAGUAACACGUGAGUAACCUGCCCUUGACUUUGGGAUAACUUCAGGAAACUGGGGCUAAUACCGGAUAGGAUCUCCUGCUGCAUGGUGGGGGUUGGAAAGUUUCGGCGGUUGGGGAUGGACUCGCGGCUUAUCAGCUUGUUGGUGGGGUAGUGGCUUACCAAGGCUUUGACGGGUAGCCGGCCUGAGAGGGUGACCGGCGACAUUGGGACUGAGAUACGGCCCAGACUCCAACGGGAGGCAGCAGUGGGGAAUAUUGCACAAUGGGCGGAAGCCUGAUGCAGCAACGCCGGGUGCGGGAUGACGGCCUUCGGGUUGUAAACCGCUUUCGCCUGUGACGAAGCGUGAGUGACGGUAAUGGGUAAAGAAGCACCGGCUAACUACGUG
rnacentral:rRNA from 1 species